rnacentral:rRNA from 1 species
GACGAACCGUGCGAACGUUGUUCGGAUUCACUGGGCUUAAAGGGCGCGUAGGCGGCUUGCCAAGUCAGGGGUGAAAUCUUUCGGCUCAACCGGGAAAACGGCCCCUGAUACUGGCGGGCUUGAGGGAGGUAGGGGCGGAUGGAACUUCCGGUGGAGCGGUGAAAUGCGUAGAUAUCGGAAGGAACGCCGGUGGCGAAAGCGAUCCGCUGGAUCUCUUCUGACGCUGAUGCGCGAAAGCUAGGGGAGCGAACGGG